AUGAACGCUGGCGGCGUGCUUAAUACAUGCAAGUCGAACGAAGACAGUAGCAAUAUUGUUUUAGUGGCGAACGGGUGAGUAACGCGUUGGUGACCUGCCCCGAAGAGAGGGAUAACAGUUCGAAAGGACUGCUAAUACCUCAUGUGGUUAUAUGGUUUAGAAGCUUAUAACUAAACUGAUUUAUUCGCUUCGGGAGGGGCCUGCGUCCCAUCAGCUAGUUGGUAAGGUAAUGGCCUACCAAGGCGAUGACGGGUAGGGGACCUGAGAGGGUGGCCCCCCACAAUGGAACUGAAACACGGUCCAUACACCUACGGGUGGCAGCAGUAGGGAAUAUUGGUUAAUGUGGGAAACCGCGAACCAGCAACGCCGCGUGCACGAUGAAGGCCUUCGGGUCGUAAAGUGCUUUUAGAGAGGAUGAGGAAGGACAGUACUCUCUGAAUAAGCCUCGGCUAACUACGU
rnacentral:rRNA from 1 species